UAAGGCUGAGACCUGAUGCCGAGCCGAUUGUGGUGAAGUGGAUGAUCCUAUGCUGUCGAGAAAAGCCUCUAGCGAGUUUCAUGGCGGCCCGUACCCUAAACCGACUCAGGUGGUCAGGUAGAGAAUACCGAGGCGUUCGGGUGAACUAUGGUUAAGGAACUCGGCAAAAUGCCCCCGUAACUUCGGGAGAAGGGGGGCCAUCACUGGUGAUCGGACUUGCUCCGUGAGCUGGGGGUGGCCGCAGAGACCAGCGAGAAGCGACUGUUUACUAAAAACACAGGUCCGUGCGAAGCCGUAAGGCGAUGUAUACGGACUGACGCCUGCCCGGUGCUGGAACGUUAAGGGGACCGGUUAGUGACCUUUCGGGGUUGCGAAGCUGAGAACUUAAGCGCCAGUAAACGGCGGUGGUAACUAUAACCAUCCUAAGGUAGCGAAAUUCCUUGUCGGGUAAGUUCCGACCUGCACGAAUGGCGUAACGACUUCUCGACUGUCUCAACCAUAGGCCCGGUGAAAUUGCACUACGAGUAAAGAUGCUCGUUUCGCGCAGCAGGACGGAAAGACCCCGGGACCUUUACUACAGUUUGAUAUUGGUGUUCGGUUCGGCUUGUGUAGGAUAGGUGGGAGACUUUGAAGCCCCAACGCCAGUUGGGGUGGAGUCGCCGUUGAAAUACCACUCUGGUCGUGCUGGAUGUCUAACCUCGGUCCGUGAUCCGGAUCAGGGACAGUGUCUGAUGGGUAGUUUAACUGGGGCGGUUGCCUCCCAAAGGGUAACGGAGGCGCCCAAAGGUUCCCUCAGCCUGGUUGGCAAUCAGGUGUUGAGUGUAAGUGCACAAGGGAGCUUGACUGUGAGACCGACGGGUCGAGCAGGGACGAAAGUCGGGACUAGUGAUCCGGCGGUGGCUUGUGGAAGCGCCGUCGCUCAACGGAUAAAAGGUACCCCGGGGAUAACAGGCUGAUCUUCCCCAAGAGUCCAUAUCGACGGGAUGGUUUGGCACCUCGAUGUCGGCUCGUCGCAUCCUGGGGCUGGAGUCGGUCCCAAGGGUUGGGCUGUUCGCCCAUUAAAGCGGUACGCGAGCUGGGUUUAGAACGUCGUGAGACAGUUCGGUCCCUAUCCGCUGUGCGCGUAGGAAUAUUGAGAAGGGCUGUCCCUAGUACGAGAGGACCGGGACGGACGAACCUCUGGUGUGCCAGUUGUCCUGCCAAGGGCAUGGCUGGUUGGCUACGUUCGGGAGGGAUAACCGCUGAAAGCAUCUAAGCGGGAAGCCUGCUUCAAGAUGAGUAUUCCCACCUCCUUGAGAGGGUAAGGCUCCCAGUAGACGACUGGGUUGAUAGGCCAGAUGUGGAAGCCCGGUAACGGGUGGAGCUGACUGGUACUAAUAGGCCGAGGGCUUGUCCUC
rnacentral:rRNA from 1 species